GCCUUUGUGGUGUAACGGUAGCACACUCGGCGCGUAUUCAAGAGGUCCAGGUUCGAGUCCCGGCAAGGGCA
rnacentral:tRNA from 1 species